GGAGCCGUAGCUCAGUUGGGAGAGCGCUUGCUUUGUACGCAAGAGGUAGCUGGAUCGAAACCAGCCGGGUCCU